rnacentral:rRNA from 1 species
AGUGAACGCUGGCGGUAGGCCUAACACAUGCAAGUCGAACGGCAGCACAGUAAGAGCUUGCUCUUACGGGUGGCGAGUGGCGGACGGGUGAGGAAUACAUCGGAAUCUACUUUUUCGUGGGGGAUAACGUAGGGAAACUUACGCUAAUAGCGCAUACGACCUACGGGUGAAAGCAGGGGAUCUUCGGACCUUGCGCGAUUGAAUGAGCCGAUGUCGGGUUAGCUAGUUGGCGGGGUAAAGGCCCACCAAGGCGACGAUCCGUAGCUGGUCUGAGAGGAUGAUCAGCCACACUGGAACUGAGACACGGUCCAGACUCCUACGGGAGGCAGCAGUGGGGAAUAUUGGACAAUGGGCGCAAGCCUGAUCCAGCCAUACCGCGUGGGUGAAGAAGGCCUUCGGGUUGUAAAGCCCUUUUGUUGGGAAAGAAAAGCAGCAGGUUAAUACCCCGCUGUUCUGACGGUACCCAAAGAAUAAGCACCGGCUAACUUCGUG